rnacentral:tRNA from 1 species
AUAUAAUGCCUGAGAAAAAGGACUAACUUGAUAGGUUAGAUUAUGGGAAAUUUUAA